rnacentral:tRNA from 1 species
GCGCCCGUAGCUCAGCUGGAUUAGAGCGACUGACUACGGAUCAGUAGGCCAGGGGUUCAAGUCCUCUCGGGCGCACCA